UACAGAGGUCUCAAGCGUUGUUCGGAUUCAUUGGGCGUAAAGGGUGUGUAGGUGGCGCCGUAAGUCGGGUGUGAAAUUUCAGAGCUUAACUCCGAAACUGCAUUCGAUACUGCGGUGCUUGAGGACUGGAGAGGAGACUGGAAUUCAUGGUGUAGCAGUGAAAUGCGUAGAGAUCAUGAGGAAGACCAGUGGCGAAGGCGGGUCUCUGGACAGUUCCUGACACUGAGACACGAAGGCCAGGGGAGCAAACGGG
rnacentral:rRNA from 1 species